UACGAAGGGGGCUAGCGUUGUUCGGAAUCACUGGGCGUAAAGGGCGCGUAGGCGGCUUUAUAAGUCGGGGGUGAAAGCCUGUGGCUCAACCACAGAAUUGCCUUCGAUACUGUAGAGCUUGAGACCGGAAGAGGUUAGUGGAACUGCGAGUGUAGAGGUGAAAUUCGUAGAUAUUCGCAAGAACACCAGUGGCGAAGGCGGCUGACUGGUCCGGUUCUGACGCUGAGGCGCGAAAGCGUGGGUAGCAAACAGG
rnacentral:rRNA from 1 species